GAGGCAGCAGUGGGGAAUAUUGGGCAAUGGACGAAAGUCUGACCCAGCGACGCCGCGUGAGGGAUGAAGGCCUUCGGGUUGUAAACCUCUUUCAGCAGGGAAGAAGCGAAAGUGACGGUACCUGCAGAAGAAGCACCGGCUAACUAUGUGCCAGCAGCCGCGGUAAUACAUAGGGUGCAAGCGUUGUCCGGAAUUAUUGGGCGUAAAGAGCUCGUAGGUGGUUAGUUACGUCGGAUGUGAAAAUCUAGGGCUCAACCCUAGACCUGCAUCCGAUACGGGCUAGCUUGAGUUUGGUAGGGGAGACUGGAAUUCCUGGUGUAGCGGUGGAAUGCGCAGAUAUCAGGAGGAACACCAAUGGCGAAGGCAGGUCUCUGGGCCAAUACUGACACUGAGGAGCGAAAGUGUGGGGAGCGAACAGGAUUAGAUACCC
rnacentral:rRNA from 1 species